AAUGAGUGAUGAAGGCUUUCGGGUCGUAAAGCACUGUUGUAUGGGAAGAACAGCUGGAAUAGGAAAUGAUUUUAGUUUGACGGUACCCUACCAAAAAGGGACGGCUAAAUACGUGCCAGCAGCCGCGGUAAUACGUAUGUCCCGAGCGUUAUCCGGAUUUAUUGGGCGUAAAGCGAGCGCAGACGGUUUAUUAAGUCUGAUGUGAAAGCCCGGAGCUCAACUCCGGAAUGGCAUUGGAAACUGGUUAACUUGAGUGCAGUAGAGGUAAGUGGAACUCCAUGUGUAGCGGUGGAAUGCGUAGAUAUAUGGAAGAACACCAGUGGCGAAGGCGGCUUACUGGACUGCAACUGACGUUGAGGCUCGAAAGUGUGGGUAGCAAACAGGAUUAGAUACCCUGGUAGUCCACACCGUAAACGAUGAACACUAGGUGUUAGGAGGUUUCCGCCUCUUAGUGCCGAAGCUAACGCAUUAAGUGUUCCGCCUGGGGAGUACGACCGCAAGGUUGAAACUCAAAGGAAUUGACGGGGGCCCAAC
rnacentral:rRNA from 1 species